rnacentral:rRNA from 1 species
GAUGAACGCUGGCGGCGUGCUUAACACAUGCAAGUCGAACGGAAAGGCCUUGCUCCAGUGGCGUGCUCGAGUGGCGAACGUGUGAGUAACCCGUUAGGAACCUGCCCUUGACUGGGGGAUAAUUCUAGUAAACCGUGGCCAGAACCGCAUAGGAGCUCCUCCUCCCAGGGGGGGGCUGGAAAGUGUCGGCGGUGGGGGAUGGAUUCGAGGCUUAUGAGCUGGUUGGUGGGGUAGUGGCUUACCAGGGCUUUGACGGGUAGCCGGCCGGAGAGGGUGACCGGCCACAUUGGGACUGAGGUGCGGCCCAGAAUCCUACGGGAGGCAGCAGUGGGGAAUAUUGCACAAUGAGGGGAAGCCUGAUGCAGCAACGCCGCGUGCGGGAUGAGGGCCUUCUGGUUGUAAACCGCUUUCGCCUGUGACGAAGCGUGAGUGACGGUAAUGGGUAAAGAAGCACCGGCUAACUCCGUG